rnacentral:rRNA from 1 species
UACGUAGGGGGCAAGCGUUGUCCGGAAUCAUUGGGCGUAAAGAGCGCGUAGGCGGCCCUGUAAGUCCGCUGUGAAAGUCAAGGGCUCAACCCUUGGAUGCCGGUGGAUACUGCAGGGCUAGAGUCCGGAAGAGGCGAGUGGAAUUCCUGGUGUAGCGGUGAAAUGCGCAGAUAUCAGGAGGAACACCGAUGGCGAAGGCAGCUCGCUGGGACGGUACUGACGCUGAGGCGCGAAAGCGUGGGGAGCGAACGGG